CCGAUAGUGAAGCAGUACCGUGAGGGAAAGGUGAAAAGAACCCCGGAAGGGGAGUGAAAUAGAACCUGAAACCGUGUGCCUACAACCGAUCGGAGCACGUUAAAGUGUGACGAUGUGCUUUUUGUAGAACGAGCCAGCGAGUUACGCUAUGUAGCAAGGUUAAGUACUUAAGGUAUGGAGCCGAAGGGAAACCGAGUCUGAAAAGGGCGAAAAGUUGCAUGGUGUAGACCCGAAACCGGGUGACCUAUCCAUGGCCAGGUUGAAGCGAGAGUAAAAUCUCGUGGAGGACCGAACCACGUUGGUGUUGAAAAACCAUGGGAUGAGCUGUGGAUAGCGGAGAAAUUCCAAUCGAACUCGGAGAUAGCUGGUUCUCCUCGAAAUAGCUUUAGGGCUAGCGUCGUGUAAUUGAGUAAUGGAGGUAGAGCACUGAAUGGGCUAGGGGCUAUAGUAGUUACCGAACCCUAUCAAACUCCGAAUGCCAUAUACUUGUAUCACGGCAGUCAGACUGCGAAUGAUAAGAUCCGUAGUCAAAAGGGAAACAGCCCAGACCAUCAGCUAAGGUCCCAAAGUGUAAGUUAAGUGGAAAAGGAUGUGGGAUUUCUAAGACAACUAGGAUGUUGGCUUAGAAGCAGCCACUCAUUUAAAGAGUGCGUAAUAGCUCACUAGUCAAGAGAUCCUGCGCCGAAGAUG
rnacentral:rRNA from 1 species